AUUAAGGUGGUAGAAUAGUACGAUAGAUUUAAGCUCUAGGAAUAAGUAGUGAGCUUUCUUAAUA
rnacentral:tRNA from 1 species